rnacentral:rRNA from 1 species
GGCGUGUACUGCUCUGCUGGGCCUUACCUCUCGGUGAGCCGGCGUGGCCUUAACUGGUUGCGUCGGGGAACCAGGACUUUUACCUUGAGAAAAUUAGAGUGUUCAAAGCAGGCCUAUGCCUGAAUACAUUAGCAUGGAAUAAUAAAAUAGGACGUGCGGUUCUAUUUUGUUGGUUUCUAGAGUCGCCGUAAUGAUUAAUAGGGAUAGUUGGGGGCAUUGGUAUUGAGUCGCUAGAGGUGAAAUUCUUGGAUUGACUCAAGACCGACUACUGCGAAAGCAUUUGCCAAGGAUGUUUUCAUUAAUCAAGGACGAAGGUUAGGGGAUCGAAAACGAUCAGAUACCGUUGUAGUCUUAACAGUAAACUAUGCCGACUAGGGAUCGGGCGACCUCAAAUUUGAUGUGUCGCUCGGCACCUUACGAGAAAUCAAAGUUUUUGGGUUCUGGGGGGAGUAUGGUCGCAAGGCUGAAACUUAAAGGAAUUGACGGAAGGGCACCACCAGGUGUGGAGCCUGCGGCUUAAUUUGACUCAACACGGGGAAACUCACCAGGUCCAGACAUAACUAGGAUUGACAGAUUGAUAGCUCUUUCAUGAUUUUAUGGGUGGUGGUGCAUGGCCGUUCUUAGUUGGUGGAGUGAUUUGUCUGGUUAAUUCCGAUAACGAACGAGACCUUAACCUGCUAAAUAGCCAGGCCGGCUUCUGCUGGUCGCAGGCUUCUUAGAGGGACUGUCAG